rnacentral:lncRNA from 10 species
AUUUUCUGAAUGGAGCGUGGUAGCAUGUUAUAGAGUCCAAGGAAUUUGCCAAAUCCGUGUGAGAAGAUUUGCCUCUCACAUGUGAGAGAAUUUUUUGAGAAAAAAAAGAUCCUGACCCCGUCCCUCUGCCACCACCCGAGUGAGGAAGACUGACAGAGCACAUUGGCUUGCUGUGGAGACAAGAUCAGGGAAAGCGCCCCUGAAAAGAAAGCAUUUUGGAAGUCCUGAAGGUGGAGAAGGAGAUUUAGAGGAAGAGUGAUAAAUCAGAAGUCUUCGUCCAAGAAUUAGCUUUGCACCAUCUACAGACCUAAGCAGCUGCAGGCCUGGAACUGUGUGAUAACUUGCCCAGAAAAUCUUCUUGUGGAAUCUGUCUUUACAUGGAAAAGACUUGGCAAUAUUUGUACAGCAACUGGAAGAAAGGUCUUUGCUGAGAUAUACAAAGAGGCAGAAUGUGUGUGGAUCACCGAUGAUAAAACAUACUGUGUCCAGAGAGAGUUAGGCCUUUGUAUCCUUCAGCUCUGGAAGAGAGUUAGGCCUCUGUAUCCUUCAGCUCUGGAAGGAGAAUAAAUCAACUGUUCCAGUGAAAGUUUAGAUUCAUGGAAGCAGUGUGGAUGAUUUCUUUCAGAAGGGGAGAACUCUGAAGUUGUGGUUGGAGAAGCGUGAGAUAGGCCUACAAGAUGGAUC